GGGAGUAUAGCUCAGUGGUAAAGUGCAUGCUUAGCAAGAACAAGGUCCUGGGUUCAAUCCCCAGUACCUCCA
rnacentral:tRNA from 1 species